rnacentral:rRNA from 1 species
CCUACGGGAGGCAGCAGUGAGGAAUAUUGGUCAAUGGACGAGAGUCUGAACCAGCCAAGUAGCGUGAAGGAUGACUGCCCUAUGGGUUGUAAACUUCUUUUAUAUGGGAAUAAAAUGUUCCACGUGUGGCUUUUUGUAUGUACCUUAUGAAUAAGGAUCGGCUAACUCCGUGCCAGCAGCCGCGGUAAUACGGAGGAUCCGAGCGUUAUCCGGAUUUAUUGGGUUUAAAGGGAGCGUAGGUGGGUUGUUAAGUCAGUUGUGCAAGUUUGCGGCUCAACCGUAAAAUUGCAAUUGAGACUGGCAGUCUUGAGUACAGUAGAGGUAGGCGGAAUUCGUGGUGUAGCGGUGAAAUGCUUAGAUAUCACGAAGAACCCCGAUUGCGAAGGCAGCUUACUAAACUGUGACUGACACUGAUGCUCGAAAGUGUGGGUAUCAAACAGGAUUAGAUACCCGGGUAGUC